rnacentral:rRNA from 1 species
UACGUAGGGCGCAAGCGUUGUCCGGAAUUAUUGGGCGUAAAGAGCUCGUAGGCGGUUUGUCGCGUCUGUCGUGAAAGCCCACGGCUUAACCGUGGGUCUGCGGUGGAUACGGGCAGACUAGAGGCAGGUAGGGGAGAAUGGAAUUCCCGGUGUAGCGGUGAAAUGCGCAGAUAUCGGGAGGAACACCGGUGGCGAAGGCGGUUCUCUGGGCAGUAACUGACGCUGAGGAGCGAAAGCGUGGGGAGCGAACAGG